AGCAGUAGCCGCGGGAAUACGUAGGUGGCAAGCGUUGUCCGGAAUUAUUGGGCGUAAAGGGCUCGCAGGCGGUUUCUUAAGUCUGAUGUGAAAGCCCCGGCUCAACCGGGGAGGGUCAUUGGAAACUGGGAAACUUGAGUGCAGAGGAGGAGAGUGGAAUUCCACGUGUAGCGGUGAAAUGCGUAGAGAUGUGGAGGAACACCAGUGGCGAAGGCGACUCUCUGGUCUGUAACUGACGCUGAGGAGCGAAAGCGUGGGGAGCGAACAGGAUUAGAUACCCCUGUAGUCCCUGUCUCUUAUACC
rnacentral:rRNA from 1 species